AUUGAACGCUGGCGGCAGGCCUAACACAUGCAAGUCGAGCGGAUGAAGGGAGCUUGCUCCUGGAUUCAGCGGCGGACGGGUGAGUAAUGCCUAGGAAUCUGCCUGGUAGUGGGGGAUAACGUCCGGAAACGGGCGCUAAUACCGCAUACGUCCUGAGGGAGAAAGUGGGGAUCCUCGGACCCCACGCUAUCAGAUGAACCUAGGUCGGAUUAGCUAGUUGGUGGGGUAAAGGCCUACCAAGGCGACGAUCCGUAACUGGUCUGAGAGGAUGAUCAGUCACACUGGAACUGAGACACGGUCCAGACUCCUACGGGAGGCAGCAGUGGGGAAUAUUGGACAAUGGGCGAAAGCCUGAUCCAGCCAUGCCGCGUGUGUGAAGAAGGUCUUCGGAUUGUAAAGCACUUUAAGUUGGGAGGAAGGGCAGUAAGUUAAUACCUUGCUGUUUUGACGUUACCAACAGAAUAAGCACCGGCUAACUUCGUG
rnacentral:rRNA from 1 species